rnacentral:pre_miRNA from 1 species
GGCCUCCCUCUGCGGGGCAAUCAAUCGUGGAGCCCCUUACCUCAUCGAUUGCUCCUCAGAGGGUGGCC